UACGGAGGGUGCGAGCGUUAUUCGGAAUUACUGGGCGUAAAGGGCGCGUAGGCGGCUGGGCUUGUCCUAUGUGAAAGCCCGGGGCUCAACCCCGGAAGUGCAUUGGAAACGGUCCGGCUUGAGUGUCGGAGAGGGUGGGGGAAUUCCCGGUGUAGAGGUGAAAUUCGUAGAGAUCGGGAGGAAUACCAGUGGCGAAGGCGCCCACCUGGACGAUGACUGACGCUGAGGCGCGAGAGCGUGGGGAUGAAACAGGAUUAGAUACCCUGGUAGUCCACGCUGUAAACGAUGAGCACUGGGUGUAGCGGGGUUUUAAACCUGCUGUGCCGUAGCUAACGCGUUAAGUGCUCCGCCUGGGGAGUACGGUCGCAAGACUAAA
rnacentral:rRNA from 1 species